GAAACUCACAACUGUGCUUAUCUCAUCAAUUUGGGGCCCAUCAGGAUAAUAUACACGGAUGCAGAAUCAUUGUAACCCUGUACCACUUUAGUACUGAGACAGCGUCACUGAACUCAGUCUGAUAACAACCAGAGGUAUUGGAAGCGCUUAUCUGAGGCACAAUCCGCUCAUGCUGGGAGAAUUCUUCAACACAGUGGGGAAGAGACUAGGAGUUGCUGAGAUCAGCAGCCUGAUGGAGGCAAGGCUACUGCAGCUCCCUCUUCCCAGGUCCAGCUACAAGUGAAGCUGAGCACACCUUCCCAAUAGGCACAGAUGUGAACACACAUAUAGAAUACAUAUAUACAUAUACACACACCUGGGCACAAGGAUCAAUACAGACAGAAAAGAUGGCACUUACACGAACAUGAAUGACACCAACGGCUUCAUUAUCUUCCCCUCUCUGUCUGAGCAAGAUGAAAGCCAGUAACUGGCCUUAGCCUACCCAGUAGCUGGCCCCUGGAUGCCUUGGUUUUCAGUUACCUCAUGCACAGACACACAUGCUUGCACACGCACGUACACACAUUCAUAUGCACACAGAUUUCUCAGCUGACCCCACCAGAUCUCACAGGCUCUGCAGAGCAGUUAGAAAAUAGAAGUGGAGUUUAAUGCAGACACAGGACACUGUGACUAAAUGGUGCAGGACAUGGCCACAUGAGUGCACUGACUAAGAUCUGUUUAUGUGACUGACCUCUUUUAUCCCCUUAUUCCUCUAUUUUCCUAUGUUUAUUUCUCUCCAAACCACCUUGUUUCUUCCCUUUCCUGCCUUUGUUUCCUCCCCUAACAUUCCAUGCUGAGUCUUGUGAAACCCCAAAAUGCUGCUGCCUUGUAUACCAUCAUUAGCCCCAUAACACUAGAGGGUAAUACCCAUCAGUCUGCAAGGCGAUCUGGAGAGCCGCUCCUGCUGACUCAUGGUGAUAGGUGUCCAGCCCAGCCCAUGAGGCUGAGGGUCUCCUGAGACAGCUGAGAGAGGGGAGAGGGAAAUGACUUCUCACUUUAGUUAGAUUAUUGCUCUUUUUCCUCUGUGAUCCUUGUUCCUGGAUCCAUCUUGAACUUUAAUAACAUGACCUAAGAGUUUCAACACUGUUCUUCCUUUAAGAAAGAAAUAAAAAUGUAUUAGUGUGUUUAGAACCAAAUAUUCUGUUUUCAGCACAUCUGGAAGAGUAUGCACUGAAUGUGUUCAUGGGAAAAGAAAACAUCAAACCACAACCAUUUAUAUGUUUUAACAUCUUUGUCUGCUCUUCUAUUCCAGUCUUUUGAAGUCUGUAUACAUUCAGCAUUCCAGCCAGGAUAGAUUUUUAUUGCAAACAUUUAUUACAACCUCUUUCAACUGUUUCUUAGGUAAUAAAAUUUUCUAAAUUUGAUUUUGAUAGUAAUGGGUUCUAAUUUAGCAAUUUAAGAGUAAAGUUGCAUUUUCUUUAGCCUGCUCUAUGGAGUCCAGUGUGCUUAGCACACUCUGGCUUUUUAUAUGCACCAUAUUCUCCAGAGUAUUUCUUAAAUGUUCACCAUCUCCUAGCAUUUUGUUACACUGUUUCCUUUUCCUACAAAUAUUUCUCCAUUUGCCACUGAUCCCAUUGUGCAUUGAACAGUCAAGAAGUAGUCUUAUUCUACCUUGAAGUGCCUAAACACUGCAUUAGUGAUUGUAAAAUGGAUAUCCUUGGUUGAAUUGUCAAGGAAAUUGAAAUCCCACUGGCCAAGAGGUAUUUUUCUUAAACCAAGGGCUUUUCUGCUCCUCUGGAAUUGCUUUUCACCUUGAUCAGGCACUUUGUAUAUCUUUCCUUUUAACCUUCUGUAUGUGCUUCUACAUUUCACGAAUACUAUUUUUCUAUAUAGGAUUUUCUGCUUUUCUUUCUCAAACUCUGUUUCUUUUCCCACAUGUGUGUGCUAUAAGACAGUAAUGUAACAUAUACACAUACUGUAUGUAGAAACUAGUCCUUUAGUCAGAUUGCCCAGCUAUAUUGAAUACUUUGAUCUCUUUUUAAGGUAAUUGAGAUGUUAAAUACUUCCUAGUUCUUGAUUUUAAUACUUUUUUGAUAACACACACAAAAACAGGUUUCACAAUUGAAAACAAAAUCUAUUCUACAUGGUCCUAUUCCUAUUUUUUUAGUGAUAGAGAAAUGAGGUACUCAUGAACUCAUUUCCAGGACACUGGAAAUCUUAUUCUGUGUCAUUCUUUGGACAAAUGAUCAUGUAGUCAAAAAGCAGUAUUUGUUAUUGUAAAAUUUAGAAACGAAAGGAGUUAUUUAUAAAAAAAAAACAAA